rnacentral:rRNA from 1 species
AAGUCGAACGGUAACAGGAAGCAGCUUGCUGCUUUGCUGACGAGUGGCGGACGGGUGAGUAAUGUCUGGGAAACUGCCUGAUGGAGGGGGAUAACUACUGGAAACGGUGGCUAAUACCGCAUAACGUCGCAAGACCAAAGAGGGGGACCUUCGGGCCUCUUGCCAUCAGAUGUGCCCAGAUGGGAUUAGCUUGUUGGUGAGGUAACGGCUCACCAAGGCGACGAUCCCUAGCUGGUCUGAGAGGAUGACCAGCCACACUGGAACUGAGACACGGUCCAGACUCCUACGGGAGGCAGCAGUGGGGAAUAUUGCACAAUGGGCGCAAGCCUGAUGCAGCCAUGCCGCGUGUAUGAAGAAGGCCUUCGGGU